rnacentral:rRNA from 1 species
UGAGGAAUAUUGGUCAAUGGUCGCAAGACUGAACCAGCCAUGCCGCGUGCAGGAAGACGGUCCUAUGGAUUGUAAACUGCUUUUAUACAGGAAGAAACCCUCCCACGUGUGGGAGCUUGACGGUACUGUAGGAAUAAGGAUCGGCUAACUCCGUGCCAGCAGCCCCGGUAAUACGGAGGAUCCAAGCGUUAUCCGGAAUCAUUGGGUUUAAAGGGUCCGUAGGCGGUCUUAUAAGUCAGUGGUGAAAGCCCAUCGCUCAACGAUGGAACUGCCAUUGAUACUGUAGGACUUGAAUGCUUAGGAAGUAACUAGAAUAUGUAGUGUAGCGGUGAAAUGCUUAGAUAUUACAUGGAAUACCAAUUGCGAAGGCAGGUUACUACUAAGUGAUUGACGCUGAUGGACGAAAGCGUGGGGAGCGAACAGGAUUAGAUACCCUGGUAGUCCACGCCGUAAACGAUGGAUACUAGCUGUUCGGCGCAAGUUGAGUGGCUAAGCGAAAGUGAUAAGUAUCCCACCUGGGGAGUACGCACGCAAGUGUGAAACUCAAAUGAAUUGACGGGGUCAUAGCUGUUUCCUG